AUGCAGCGACGUCGCGUGGAGGAAUGAAAUCUUUCGGGAUGUAAACUCCUUUUAACGGGGAAGAAAAAAAUGACGGUAACCCGUUGAAUAAGCCCCGGCUAACUACGUAC
rnacentral:rRNA from 1 species